UUUAUCAAAAACAUCGCCUCCUGCAACUAUAUUGAGUAUAGGAGGUCCAGCCUGCCCAGUGACUACGGGUUCAACGGCCGCGGUAUUUUGACCGUGCAAAGGUAGCGCAAUCACUUGUCUCUUAAAUAGAGACCUGUAUGAAUGGCUAGACGAGGGCUUAACUGUCUCCCCCUUCCGGUCAGUGAAAUUGAUCUAUCCGUGCAGAAGCGGGUAUAAUUUUACAAGACGAGAAGACCCUUUGGAGCUUAAGGUACAAAAUUCAACCACGUUAAACGACUUCACAGAGAGCAAGAACUUAGUGGCGAGUGAAAUUUUACCUUCGGUUGGGGCGACCACGGAGGAGAAAGAAGCCUCCGAGUGGACUGGGCUAAUCCCCAAAGCCAAGAGAUACAUCUAUAAGCCGCAGAACAUCUGACCAAAAAUGAUCCGGCUGAUAAAGCCGAUCAACGAACCAAGUUACCCUAGGGAUAACAGCGCAAUCCUCUCCCAGAGUCCAUAUCGACGAGGGGGUUUACGACCUCGAUGUUGGAUCAGGACAUCCUAAUGGUGCAGCCGCUAUUAAGGGUUCGUUUGUUCAACGAUUAAAGUCCUACGUGAUCUGAGUUCAGAC
rnacentral:rRNA from 1 species